rnacentral:rRNA from 1 species
CUACGGGAGGCAGCAGUGGGGAAUAUUGCACAAUGGGCGCAAGCCUGAUGCAGCCAUGCCGCGUGUGUGAAGAAGGCCUUCGGGUUAUAAAGCACUUUCAGCGGGGAGGAAGGCGGUGAGGUUAAUAACCUCAUCGAUUGACGUUACCCGCAGAAGAAGCACCGGCUAACUCCGUGCCAGCAGCCGCGGUAAUACGGAGGGUGCAAGCGUUAAUCGGAAUUUCUGGGCGUAAAGCGCACGCAGGCGGUCUGUCAAGUCAGAUGUGAAAUCCCCGGGCUCAACCUGGGAACUGCAUUCGAAACUGGCAGGCUAGAGUCUUGUAGAGGGGGGUAGAAUUCCAGGUGUAGCGGUGAAAUGCGUAGAGAUCUGGAGGAAUACCGGUGGCGAAGGCGGCCCCCUGGACAAAGACUGACGCUCAGGUGCGAAAGCGUGGGGAGCAAACAGGAUUAGAUACCCGGGUAGUC